UACGGAGGGUGCGAGCGUUGUCCGGAAUCAUUGGGCGUAAAGAGCGUGUAGGCGGCCCGAUUAGUCCGCUGUGAAAGUCCAGGGCUCAACCCUGGAAUGCCGGUGGAUACUGUCGGGCUAGAGUCCGGAAGGGGCGAGUGGAAUUCCUGGUGUAGCGGUGAAAUGCGCAGAUAUCAGGAGGAACACCAAUGGCGAAGGCAGCUCGCUGGGACGUGACUGACGCUGAGACGCGAAAGCGUGGGGAGCGAACAGG
rnacentral:rRNA from 1 species